AGGUGAGUAGACCGAAGGAACCUCCCCUUCAGUCUCUCGCAGAACGGUGCGUAAACCUCUCAGCUUACACCGCUCCC
rnacentral:ncRNA from 1 species